UGCAGAGGUCCCAAGCGUUGUUCGGAUUCACUGGGCGUAAAGGGUGCGUAGGUGGCUGGGUAAGUUUGAUGUGAAAUCUCCGGGCUCAACCCGGAAAAUGCAUUGAAUACUAUCCAGCUCGAGGUUUGGAGGGGGGACUGGAAUUCUUGGUGUAGCAGUGAAAUGCGUAGAUAUCAAGAGGAACACCAGUGGCGAAGGCGAGUCCCUGGACAAAUCCUGACACUGAGGCACGAAAGCUAGGGGAGCAAACAGG
rnacentral:misc_RNA from 1 species